GCCAGUGUUACAUUAAAAGAAUGAAUACCAAUUCUGUCAGAGUUAAGGCAUGUGAGCUUUGGAAAGGAAUAGGGACAGAGUUUGCUUCCAAGACAUACAAGUUCUGCUAACAAAAUUGGUCCUGUUGAUAGCAGUUUAUUUUUGGUGGGGGGGGGGGGGGGGGGGGGGAGGGAUGGGACAGCCUUGUCACCACCAGGCCACCUCAGGAGACUCCACCAUCCAGCAGUCAGCACCAGAUCUGCUGACUGCUGAUUUAGCUUCACCAGAUUACCUCCAGUUCUUUUCAGCGACCCUUUGGCAUCAGGUAGGUCCAUUCUCUGCAUUAAUCUUCAAAGUGGCAUCUCUCCCUCUUCUGUUGGGGGCCUUUCCUACACUCAAUGCCUCCCUUCUUUUUGCCAGCACUUCAGCAACAAACCAGACUCCUUUCCCUUUCUGAUGGCAGACAGUAAGGCCCUCCUCACUUCAACACACCAACCUCAACAUGAAUCACACUGUGCCCUUGGGAGGCCAGAAGACCCUUACUCAUGGGUCCCAACUACCUGGCAGACAAAUGGGGGUAAUGCCUCCAGAACUAUCUCACUGUCCUAGGGCCUUAGAAAUGCAGAUUAGCAAAAUGGAUCCAUACCCCUAGGGAGAGAGGUAUGGCUGAAUUUGCCCCUUGAAACCCAGAAGACAGAGGUAAGGGACAAGAGUCCUGGGACAAGGUCGGAUUUGCUUAAACUUCAAGAAUAUGGAGUUCCUCCUACCUAUCUUUUCACCCAGAUUAUCAACAAAGGAUUUAAAAUUAAAAGAGUUCAUUCUCGGGAGAGAAGGGGGACCCUGUAUUUGAGAGGAGAAAAGUGGAGUGGAAGAUAAUUAAUUAAAAGACAAGAUGACAGAUCUCCCCUAAAUUUAUAAAUUCAAUGCUAUACCAAUCAAAAUAUCAAGAGGAUUUUUUAUUAUUUUGUCAAAAUGAUACCAGAGCUCAUCAAGACAAAUAAACUUGAGAAUUACCAGGAAAAUUCUAGGGGGAAAAAACUAAAGAAGUACCCUCAGUCCCUCUUUAGUUUUCAGAUAGUCAAUAUAAAGCUAAAUAAUGAAGCUUGGUGCUAACGGGGAGGAUUAGUUAAGAUGAUGAUACAUUUAAGGGGCAUAUAAUUUUACUUGGCACAUUGAAGCACUCUAAAAAAUUAGCCAUUAUUACUUUUAUAUUAUAACAAUUUGAAAACUGUGUAAAAAUGGAUUAUUCAAUAAAUGAUACUGAUCUAGCUGGCUAGCCAUUUGAGAAAAAAAUUAAGUGAAUCCCCACCACACUCUAUACCCCAAAAUAUAAAUUCCAGAUGAAUGCAAAAUUUAAACGUAAGUAAUGAAACCAUAAAAGAACUAAAUGACAAGAAAAAUGAGCUGUUUUUCCAAUCCUGGAGUAAGGCCUUUCUCAGGAUCCCUGUUAGCCUUUAUAUAUAUAAUACCUUAGUGCAAAUUAGAAAAUGAAGGUCCUUCUCCAGGACUCUUUCCAUCUGUCAGAAUACUUUCAUAAUUUACUGAUUUUGUUGGAAUAAAACAUUUUACUGGGGCCAGCCUGGUGGUGCAGCGGUUAAGUGCGCCCAUUCCACUUUGGUGGCCCGGGGUUCGCUGGUUCGGAUCCUGGGUGCGGACAUGGCACCACUCGGCAAGCCAUGCUGUGGCAGGUGCCCCACAUAUAAAGUAGAGGAAGAUUGGCAGCAGAUUUUAGCUCAGGGCUAAUCUUUCUCAAAUAAAUAAAUAAAUAAAUAAAAUAAAAACAUUUUACUGCAAUUCACUAUAUAUAAAUCUAUGAUAUCUAUGAUUUGAAUAGAAGCUCCUAGGGUAGUUGGUGUACAACUGACCUGACUUUUCUAAAAAUUAUUUAAUUAAAAAAAAAGAGCUGGGGCCGGCCCGAUGGCCAAGUGGUUAAGUUUGCACACUCUGCUUUGGUGGCCCAGGGUUUCGCUGGUUUGGAUCCUGGGCGUAGACAUGGCACUGCUCAUCAAGCCACAGAGAGGUGGCAUCCUACAUGCCACAACUAGAAGGACCUACAACUAAAAUGCACAACUAUGUACUGGGUGGAUUUGGGGAGAAAAAGCAGAAAAAAAAAAGAAGAUUGGCAGGAGUUGUUAGCUCAGGUGCCAAUCUUAAAAAAAAAAAAAGAGCUAUAAGAAAGAGAAGAAGCUACUGACAUAGAGAAAAGAAAGAUAAAUCUUACAAAUUCAUUUUUGCUAUGCUUUUGUAGUGUCGGCCUUCUCUAAUAUGACCAUGUUUUACUUUCAUAUUUUAAAAUAAUUUUAAGAAAAAGGAAGAAACACUAAGGAGCUCAGGAAGCAUCUCAAGAAACUAGUAUUCCUCCCACCCAACAGUCUCCUCAUAAAGUCAGCAGGAGGAGUAACACACAGAUGUGUCCAAUUCCCAUACUCCCCCAGCAGAGCUUACAUUGAACAAUAAAGCAGGGAUGGGUGUAAAACGCUCAAUGUGGAUCAUAGACAGAAGGUCCGGAAGAUGGCCCUCACGAGACCCCACAAAGAACAACCUAGAAGGACAAAAAAUGUGUCAGCAGGAUCCUUUUACUCAGCCACGCAACCACACUUCUCACUCAGACAAACUAGGCUCAGAGCCCCAGAAGAAAGCAGGAGGUAG
ensembl:lncRNA